AAGAAAUUAGUAUUAAAGUACAUGAUUUUGUCAAAAUCAUAAUUUGUUCUUA
rnacentral:tRNA from 1 species